CAGCUUAACUCUAGUGCACUUUUUAGAAAUAAAUUAAAAGUAUGCUUGAGUUUAGCAUACUUUUAAAAAGUGUAAUUAAGCAUAUAUUUAUUACCAACGUACUUGUAGUACACUUUUUUGAAAUACAUUUAAAAGCUAUUUAACAUAUUUUUAAUACACUUUAAAUAAGCACGUUGGGAAUACAAAUGUACUAAAAACAUAUUACUUAAAUUUUAAGUAUAUUUUUAAUACAUUAAAUACUACUUUUUUUUCACCUGGGAAAUGCCGCUUAAUAUGAGAAGACAACAGUUAAUGGCUGUGUAUUGGACAAAUCUGAAUUGUCAAAACGAGGUACACCCAACAAGGAAAAUUUUGGGGGUAUGUUGGGAAAAAGGAAUGAAGAAAUAUAAGAGUUUUGGAUGGGUGGUAGAAAAUGACAUUAAGGAGAUGGGGAUUAACAAUUAUAGAUGUGUACCCAGAGUGAUAUAUCCACAUAUCCCAAUAUGGAUUCUCCCUCAGCCAGUAGUAGACUUAACAUUACUGAAGAUAAGACAAAGCGAAAGAGAUUAUGAGAUGGAAGUAAUAAGAGCAAAAGAGUAUUUGAGUAGUACGUAUGAGGACAAUGUACAGAUAUACACAGAUGCAUCCAAGAAAGGAAGAAGAGUAGGAGUGGCAGUCAAUGUGCCAAAGUUAAUGGUGAGGAAAAAAGUCAGAAUUAGUGACCAAAUUUCAGUAUAUACAGGUGAGCUAAUGGCUAUGCUGUUAGCACAGUGCAAGUAGUUAAGGAAAGGGAAAUAAAAAAUGCAGUAAUAUGCUCAGAUUCAUAUUCAGCAAUAGUCAGCAUUGAAAAUAAAAAAUCAGAAUCAAGGCCAGAUUUAAUCAUUGAAAUUUUUCAAAAUCUUUAUGAGUUGAGGCAAAGCAAGAUAGAAGUACAGUUUAUGUGGGUGCCAGCACAUGUAGGAAUUAAAGGUAAUGAAGAAGCAGAUAAGUUAGCUAAGCAAGCAGUAGAUGAUGAGAGGAUAGAAAUUGAGUUACCACAUAGUAUAAAAGAAAUAAAAUCAGUAAUAAAAGAGAAAGUGAUUGAAAAGUGGCAACAAUAUUGGGAUAAUGAGAGUAGAGGAAGACAUUUAUAUGCAAUACAAGAGAAAGUGGGAAAAGGUAGGAAAAGAGGAAGAAAUAGAAGAGAGGAAAGUAUAUUUACGAGAUUGAGAGUGGGGCAUACAGGUUUGAAUAAAACAUUGCAUUUAAUAGCUAAGCACCCAACAGGUUUGUGUGAGAAAUGUGGACAGAGUGAAACAGUAGAACAUGUGACUAUGAGUUGUAAUGGAUAUGAUGAAGAAAGGAAAGUGUUAAGAGAAGGAGUGUGGAACAAUGAAGGGAAAGAAUUAACAGUAAAGAAUAUAUUAGAUCUAGGUAUAGGAAGUAGUACGGUUGAUGUGUUGUUUCAGUUUUUGAAUAGUACUGGUUUAAUGAAAAGAGUGUAGGAUUAAAUAUGGAUAGGAUUAUAGAAUUAAGUAGUGGAUGAAGUAUAGAGAGAAUCAGGGAAAGUAAAGUGUUGUUGUUGUUGUGUUUUUUUUUUUUUAUUAAUUUACUUGGGAGGGGGUUAGAAAGGUUAAGAGAAAGAAAGGUUUCUGGUCCAAGCUCCAUGCUACCUGAAGAUGGCAGUAAUGCACUGUUAAGUGCGGUUGCCAAUAAACUGGAAAAGAAGAAGAAGAAGCAGCCACGAGGAAAGCAUGUAUCACACUCGUUUGGUCUUGUGUCAAAGCUCUGCGAAACUGGAGGGAGAAACUUGAGAGACCGUGCCGGAAGAAUGCUGGACAGAGUUCACUAAAAUUCAUUCAUUUCAAAGUUCAACAUGAAUGGUGGUGGUCCACUGCAGAAGCAAGCAUUUGAAAAAACAUCACUUCUCAGUUAUUAAAGAUGCUGUGUUGAACAACUUCCCAGCAGCAACAGAACUGGAAGUGAAGGAUGCAAUGGGGGCAUUUCAAACAGGUAGGUGUAUCCCAGACAUCAGAGGACUACCUGAUGUGGAUUAGAGUUGGCUGACUUUAAGAAGAAAGAAGGAGAGGUGUCUGGUCUGGAAUGCACCGGAUUAGUUUGCUGCCUGUGAUGUUGAGUAGGUGAUUUGAAUCAGAGACAAAAGAUGACUCAGGGCGGUAGAUGCACCAGAAUCGUUAGACGUGCCAUCAUUUCGCCAAGCUUUGAUUUUACCCAUCUGAUCAUGAUUCUUUGAUGACUGCACACUCGGAACCUUUCUUGCUAGACACGUUGUCUCUGCAACAAGCUUUGAUUUCAACCGCUUCAUCAUUAAUCUUCAAAGACUGCACGAGAUUAGUAUAGGUUUAUAUAAAAUAAAUAACUUUUGAUACAAUAAAAUUUA